CCUACGUGAGGCAGCAGUGAGGAAUAUUGGUCAAUGGGCGCGAGCCUGAACCAGCCAAGUAGCGUGAAGGAUGACUGCCCUACGGGUUGUAAACUUCUUUUUUAAAGGAAUAAAGUGAGGCUCGUGUGCCUUUUUGUAUGUACUUUAUGAAUAAGGAUCGGCUAACUCCGUGCCAGCAGCCGCGGUAAUACGGAGGAUCCGAGCGUUAUCCGGAUUUAUUGGGUUUAAAGGGAGCGUAGAUGGGUUGUUAAGUCAGUUGUGAAAGUUUGCGGCUCAAACGUAAAAUUGCAAUUGAUACUGGCAGUCUUGAGUACAGUUGAGGUAGGCGGAAUUCGUGGUGUAGCGGUGAAAUGCUUAGAUAUCACGAAGAACUCCGAUUGCGAAGGCAGCUUACUAAACUGCCACUGACAUUGAUGCUCGAAAGUGUGGGUAUCAAACAGGAUUAGAUACCCUUGUAGUC
rnacentral:rRNA from 1 species